CACACACAUACUCAUGGCAAAGAGAGAGAAAAGUGUGCUUUUGUGUGCUUUUGUGUAGUACAAGGCUUGGAGUGUGUUCUAGGAAGUCUUUUGCUAAUAUUUAUGUGAACAUUUUUCUGAAGCAAAGAAAGAACUGAUAUGAAGAAGAAGAAUAUCAGGACUAUCCAGACUCUUAGAUGGUUCCUGAUAUUAGUUUUUGAGGCGAGACCACCUCCCUUUUUGGGAACUACCAUGAUGUAGUUCGCUAACUUAGUCCUAUAGACAAUAUUUAUAUUUAUGCUGUUAUUUGUGCUCCAGUUAUCUUGGUGUGUAUUACUAUAUGGGCCUUGUGAGGCAUGACUACUAGCUUUGUAUGACUAUGAUGACUUACUUACUUAUAUCUAUC